rnacentral:ncRNA from 1 species
CUCAGGGGUGCGUUAUGCUGAGACGAUAAUAAUUGAUUAUCGAACCCUCUUACCUGAUACGGAUAAUACCGGCGUAGGGAGACGAUG